rnacentral:tRNA from 1 species
CUUCUCUUAGUUUAAUUGGUAGAACAGAGGUCUUCGAAACUUUAUGUAGUGGUUCGAUUCCACUAGGGAAUU